AUUAAUUAUUAUUGGAAACAAUUUCCAGUGAAUUUAAAUCCUCAUGUCUAUGCAGUAGGGCUGCAUCGUGCUCUGGCUCAUUAAUUUAUUAAACAUCAAUGGUGAUGCAGUUCUUUGAUCCUCUUAAAAAUUAACCACCUACGCCUGUAUCUUAACCAAUUCUUGAGCCAUGGAAAUAUUCCCUCUCUCCUGGACACUUCAGCUCAUCAACAAACCCUUAGCAGUGCCUUUUCCUGAGAAGUUUUCAAAUAUCAUAUGAUUAAUAUGUGUUUCCCUUAUUAUUUUUCAGAUCUGUAUGUGGAAAGGUGCAGUUUUCUCUACAGAAAUAUGUUGUUCACCGAGGAGAUAAAAUACUUCACUACAAUGCCCCACAGCCCCUAAAACCAGAUGGUCUAGGCAGAGUUUACUGCUGGACUUUGUUCCUCUGGAGAUGGGAGCUUCCCUCCCUGGAAGGAGCCCUUCCAAAAGCCGCCUCUGAGUUGCUAAGAAACAGCUUGUCACUGUGGCAUGGGCUGUAAUCAGUUGCGUACAGAGCAUUCAACGCUCCUGGUACGUCUGCAUCAAUUAUGCAUCGUCGGUGUGAUUUUUCUUCCUGUGGAAACUUGGCUUCCAGAGGCUCUUUGUGGUGCUCCAGCCAUGACCUAAACCCUCCUUUGCUGAAUAAUUCCUACCGAGACAACACAGUUUCCCCGCUGUGUUUUCCACGCUGCCGUGUUUCAGCAAGGCAAAUAAAUCAGGCUGUCUCCUGCCACCGG